rnacentral:other from 1 species
GCGUUCCUGCUACACUCGUGUUGUCGUCAAUAUUAACCCUCAAAGAAUAGAUACGGGAUUCCCACUCCGGCCGGCGGAUUGCAGGCCUCCCGCGUUGACCUUGUCCGCGGAUGUUGGAAGCGAGAAACGGAAGGGAGGAAACCCACCUGCGUAGAGUGAUGCAGGUUAGUAUCUGCGGCACACGGUGAUGCGGGACGUC